rnacentral:rRNA from 1 species
UACGGAGGGGGCUAGCGUUAUUCGGAAUUAUUGGGCGUAAAGGGCGCGUAGGCGGCCCGGUAAGUCAAAGGUGAAAUCCCUCGGCUCAACUGAGGAACUGCCUUUGAAACUGUCGGGCUUGAGGCCGGGAGGGGGUAGCGGAAUUCCCAGUGUAGCGGUGAAAUGCGUAGAUAUCUGGAGGAACACCGGUGGCGAAGGCGGCAUCCUGGACCGGUAUUGACGCUGAGGCGCGAAAGCCAGGGGAGCAAACGGG